UAGUCCACGCCGUAAACGAUGUCUACUUGGAGGUUGUGGCCUUGAGCCGUGGCUUUCGGAGCUAACGCGUUAAGUAGACCGCCUGGGGAGUACGGUCGCAAGAUUAAAACUCAAAUGAAUUGACGGGGCCCGCACAAGCGGUGGAGCAUGUGGUUUAAUUCGAUGAUACGCGAGGAACCCUACCUAGACUAGAAUGCCUUUGCCAGCCCUUGAAAGAGGGUUUUCCUUCGGGGACAAAGUGCAAGGUGCUGCAUGGUUGUCGGCAGCUCGUGCCGUGAGGUGUUGGGUUAAGUCCCGCAACGAGCGCAACCCCCUAUCACUAGUUGCCAGCAAUUCGGUUGGGGACUCUAGUGAGACUGCCGGCGCAAGCCGCGAGGAAGGUGGGGACGACGGUCAAAUCAUCAUGGCCUUUAUGUCUAGGGGCGACACACGUGCUACAAUGGGUAGGGGACAGAGGGGCAGCUAAGCAGCGAUGUGGUGCUAAUCUC
rnacentral:rRNA from 1 species